rnacentral:rRNA from 1 species
AGUGAACGCUGGCGGUAGGCCUAACACAUGCAAGUCGAACGGCAGCACAGUAAGAGCUUGCUCUUACGGGUGGCGAGUGGCGGACGGGUGAGGAAUACAUCGGAAUCUACUUUUUCGUGGGGGAUAACGUAGGGAAACUUACGCUAAUACCGCAUACGACCUACGGGUGAAAGCAGGGGAUCUUCGGACCUUGCGCGAUUGAAUGAGCCGAUGUCGGAUUAGCUAGUUGGCGGGGUAAAGGCCCACCAAGGCGACGAUCCGUAGCUGGUCUGAGAGGAUGAGAGGCAACAGUGGAACGGAGACAGGGUCCAGACUCAUACGGGAGGAAGCAGGGGGGAAUAUUGGAAAAGGGGCGAAGGCCGGACCCAGCAAUCCGGGGUGGGGGAAAAGGGCCUGGGGUUUGAAAGGCCGUUUUGUGGGAAAAAAAAAGCAGCGGGUAAAUACCCCGCUGUUCUGAGGGUACCCAAAGAAAAAGCACCGGCUACCUUCGUG